GCCAUUGCUGCCCCAUAUGGUGGGCAGUUCCACCGUGGCCUGGUGUACAUUCAUAACGGGCGUCCCACAGGGCCCAAUCCUGUGGCCUCUCAAGUUCUGGAAGGAACAUGGGCGUCUGCUUCCAUGCCUUCUAGCUUUGGUUACGCUAUGAAUGGAGGCACAGAUGUCGAUCAGAAUGGAUACCCUGACCUGAUUGUUGGGGUGUUUGGCGCUGACAAAGCUGUUCUGUACAGGGCUCGUCCGGUCAUCAGCGUGAACACCACACUGGAUAUCAGCCCACAGAUCCUAAACCCUGAAGACAAGACCUGCACCCUGCCUGGUACAACCACCACAGU